GUGCUACUGAGCUGAUUACAGUCAAUUAUAUACCACUGGCUCAGUUCAGCAGGAACAG
rnacentral:pre_miRNA from 1 species